rnacentral:rRNA from 1 species
GUGGGGAAUUUUGGACAAUGGGGGGAACCCUGAUCCAGCAACGCCGCGUGAAUGAAGAAGGCCUUAGGGUUGUAAAGUUCUUUUGUCAGAGAGCAAAGUUUUGUUGCUAAUAUCAACAAAAGCUGAGAGUAUCUGAAGAAUAAGCACCGGCUAACUACGUGCCAGCAGCCGCGGUAAUACGUAGGGUGCGAGCGUUAAUCGGAAUUACUGGGCGUAAAGCGUGCGCAGGCGGAUGAUUAAGUUAGAAGUGAAAUCCCCGGGCUUAACCUGGGAACUGCUUUUAAGACUGGUGAUCUAGAGUUUGUCAGAGGGGGGUGGAAUUCCAAGUGUAGCAGUGAAAUGCGUAGAGAUUUGGAGGAACACCGAUGGCGAAGGCAGCCCCCUGGGAUAGAACUGACGCUCAUGUACGAAAGCGUGGGUAGCAAACAGGAUUAGAAACCCCUGUAGUCC